CUCUGGAAUUGUGUGGCCUCUCAUUUGUUCAUGUCUGACGCUACUCAGAUGACAAUCAUUGCGGGACGUACAGAUACAGGCCAGUGCCCACAGAAAUGAAAGCCAAAGGGCACACCUGGAGGUGUCCUCAGGGAUGAAUCAAUAAAAAAGGCUGUAAUGGAUCUGUCAAUUGACAAGGAAACAUAACGAGGUUCUUGCUCAGUGCCCUCACAAGUUCUUUGGGCUGGGGUUCUGCCCGUGACAUUGCCACCAAAUCCAGGAGUGACGUAUUUAUUUUUUUUCCCGGAUGGUGCACAGUGCCACAGCAGAGGCUUGAGGCAGCCAGGUAAAAGCCCAGCAGUAAAGGUCAGUAGCCUCACCUAUGCCAUACUGUCCAGCCUGGCCUGGGCUUGCUGGAAGCACUGACUCAUCAGAUGCGAGCAAUACCCAAGAAACAACCACAGGAUCCCGCAGAGACUGGAGGAGGAAGCCGAUCCACACAUAAAAAGCUGCAGCCCGUAUGAAGAGGGGAAUUAUUAGCUAAAAGAUAGCCGUCAGAUUUCAGAAGAUAAAUGAAAGGUGGAUCUGAACCUUGAAAUUGUCAGCUCAGCAGGAGAUUGCAAAGGCAGAGUGGUGAAAGGAGGGUCUCCUGCAGAACUCCCAAGAAGAUUGAAAUGGAUUGUGGAAUUCUGGAAGGGGACAAGAAACGGGCAAUACAAAGGUUUUGUGAUACGAUCAUCCAACAUCAGAGCUAUAGCGGUAGUAGCAAGGCCAUCUUGACUAAAUACCAGUAAAAAUGGGAAGUACUGGAUUCUGGUUUCCUCCAAGAAGAGUCAGCGGAACUGGUUAAGACCAAAAUCUGAGGACUUUAGUGGGCAAACAUCAGUCCCCUUUUGCUUUCUUUUACGACCACAUGAAACUUGAGAAGCCAUCUAAAGCUAAAUCAUUUAGUGGAGUUGGGCAAUUCCCAAGUGUCCAACAAGAAGGCCUGGUUUAGGCUGCGAUGGCCACUGUCAUUCCUGGUGAUUUGUCAGAAGUAAGAGAUACCCAGAAAGUCCCUUCAGGGAAACGUAAGCGUGGUGAAACCAAACCAAGAAAAAACUUUCCUUGCCAACUGUGUGACAAGGCCUUUAACAGUGUUGAGAAAUUAAAGGUUCACUCAUACUCUCACACAGGAGAGAGGCCCUACAAGUGCACACAACAAGACUGCACCAAGGCCUUUGUUUCUAAGUACAAAUUACUAAGGCAUAUGGCUACUCAUUCUCCUGAGAAAACCCACAAGUGUAAUUAUUGUGAGAAAAUGUUUCACCGAAAAGAUCACCUAAAGAAUCACCUACAUACACACAAUCCCAACAAAGAGGCCUUUAAGUGUGAAGAAUGUGGAAAGAACUACAAUACCAAGCUUGGGUUCAAACGUCACCUGGCUUUGCAUGCUGCAACAAGCGGUGACCUCACCUGUAAGGUAUGUUUGCAGACUUUUGAAAGCACAGGAGUGCUGCUGGAGCACCUAAAAACUCAUGCAGGCAAGUCAUCGGGUGGAGUGAAGGAGAAAAAACACCAGUGUGAACACUGUGAUCGUCGGUUCUACACCCGAAAGGAUGUCCGUAGACACAUGGUAGUGCACACUGGAAGAAAGGACUUCCUCUGUCAGUACUGUGCACAGAGAUUUGGGCGGAAGGAUCACCUAACGCGCCACAUGAAGAAAAGUCACAACCAAGAACUUUUGAAGGUCAAAACAGAGCCAAUGGACCUUCUAGAUCCCUUUACCUGCAACGUUUCUGUGCCUAUCAAGGAUGAGCUGCUUCCAGUGAUGUCGUUACCUUCCAGUGAACUGACAUCAAAGCCAUUUACAAACACUUUGCAAUUAAAUCUCUACAACACUCAGAUUCAGUCCAUGCAGAGUUCUGCAUCCGCACACCAAAUGGUUGCCACAUCAUUACCAUUGGGGAUGCCUUGUCCAAUAGAUAUGGAGUCUGUCCACCCUUCGCACCAGCUAUCGUUGAAAUAUCCGCUCAGUUCUACCUCAUAUGCAGUUUCUAUGCCUGAAAAAGAACAGCCUUUGAAAGGGGAAAUCGAAAGUUACUUAAUGGAGUUGCAAAGUGGUAUGCCUUCUUCAUCCCAGGAUUCUCAAGCAUCUUCAUCAAAACUAGGGCUGGAUCCACAAGUAGGGCCACUAGAUGAUGGGUCUGGGGAGGUUUCCCUUUCCAAGGGCUCCGUUCCUAUUAGUGAACCUCUAAACACCCCGUCAUUGGACUUUUCUCAGCUGUUCAACUUCAUACCCGUCAAUGGCCCUCCCUAUAAUCCUUCUGUUUCGGUGGGAAACCUUGGAAUGAGUUACACGCAGGAGGAGGCACAUUCUUCUAUGACUCAACUUCCACCACAGACACAGGAUCCACAAGAUCCUAGCAAUAGUAUAGGUCUUGGGUCUCUGCACUCAUUGUCAGCAGCUUUCACGAGCAGUCUAAGCACAACCACCACCCUACCACGAUUUCAUCAAGCUUUCCAAUAGGAUGUACAAAGCUGGCUUGUUACUGUCUAUUUGUAGAAAUGCCUUAGGUGACCAUUUUUAACUUAGUGCCUACUAUAAGACAUUAUCAGUUCUCUGCUUUUGUACAGUACCAAUCUCAUGAAGCCAGUAAGAAAUUUAAAUUAACUUUUUAAAAAUGUUUUGAAAGUGUUUAUUCUCAGCUGUGUUUACUUCAUUGUUUUUGUUUUUGUUUUUGUUUUUUUAAAGUCUCAUUGUAUUGUUUUCAUUUUCACUGCCAAUUGACCCAUUUAAAAUGUCCACUAGAAAGUCAUCCCAAGCAAACUUUCAACACGCAUCCCUUUUAAAACCUUUUCAACCUUACAGCCACUCUGUUCUAUUGAUGUGGUGGAGCUACCAUUUUUACCUUUUAUAUAUUACAGCAUUUGCAAAGGAUCCAUUUCAAACGUGUAUCACAAAGGUUCCUGAAGAUCAGGGAAAAAUUUUCUCCGGUCCCUUUCCAAAAAAAAAACCCUCUUCCCAAAUGGUGACAUCUGAUCUGUUCUAUAAUGACAAAUUUUAAUUUUUAAAUGAAGAUAGAAUUCAGAUUUUUCUGAAAAUUUGGAUGUGUAUAUGUAGAAGUCCAUAUAUACACAUGUACAUAUAUAUAACAUUUUGACUUAUAUUGAAGUCAUUAUAAAAGGUGUUAAGAAUUUUGCCAUUUUCUGGCUUAAAUUUUUGUGGCUUGUUAUAAAUAUUGGAAGAAAAAGAAUACAGUUUAAUUUUCUAAAACCGUGGCUGAACAGAACUUCAACAGAGAAUCUCUGCUUGCCUAACUGACAAAAGUUUCAAGUUGAAUUUGGAACUGUGUUGUGCUUUCAUGACUCUGGUAGAGGAAAACAGGCAAAUUUAAUGGCUGAUCUUGAAAUAUAAAAGUGUUGUAAUUUAGUAAUGCAGAAUAUUUUGUCGCAGUUUUUGUUUUAAUUCUUAACUUGCUGGGUUUUUUUACCUUUAGUAGCAUAGAAAGAGUACUGCAUAGGAAUCUUCCAGUAGCGUACUGACUUUUGUAGGCAUCGGUCUUCUCCCAGCUGCCACCACCAAAGGGUGGAUCAAGUCCAGCCAGAAAGUGUGUAUCUAUUUUAACUUCAAUAUUAGUGUGCAGUCAGAGAGUGAAUGUAAAUUUACAAAUACCAUUUUUUUGGGUUGUUUUUUUUUUGUUUUUUUUUAUUGGAAUGAACUUUUCAGUUGUGUUACAUGGUGUGUUAUGUCCUCCUAAGCAACAAGUUAGAUGUUAAUCAUACUUUCUACACCUGGGUACUUGGUUAGGGACUUUUUGCCCACUGCCAAGAUUUAAAGACAGGACUCUUAGGAGUGAAGUAAAAGCAUAUUGCUUACACCACUUUUGCCUAAUGCAAUAUUUUCUAUUCCCCAACCCCUAAUAACCAAAAGAGGAAAAAAAGAAAAAAAAACAAAAAACAAAAAACAAAAACAAACCUGUGAUGCAUGAAAGCAAACUCGAGUUGCUGUAAUUCAACAAUAACACGCUUUUCCUUGUCAUUUUUGUACGAGGAAUUAAAAUAGAAAUUGAGUACAUUAGUAUCUCUCAAACAAUAAUGAGGAUUCAUACGAGGUUUUAAGUGGUUAAACUAAAUAUACUUCACAGAAACAAAAGUUGCUCCCAUUUAAGGAGCUCAUGCUCCAGAUGUUUUAUCAGUAGCUCCUACUUUUUUUUUUUAAUUCUAGGAGCAAUAUGCAGGUGUAGUUUUACUAUUUUAUACAUAUAUGUAUUUAAAUUUUAUUACUGAAAGAUAACAUUUUUAUAAAUGUGUUUGUGUUCCAAAGGCAUUAAAAUAAGGAUGUAUUAAUAAGGAAAAUACCUUUUGAAAUUCUACAAAUUGCUCCUAGAUUUUGGGUUUAGGAGCUUGUUAUCUCAAAGUGGGCUUUUAGCUCUGCUUCAUGACUGCUUCCUCUGGUUUCUAUGAAACAGAUCGCUUGCUUACUUACAUCUUUAGUUGAAUGAUUUGUUCAAUAUUGCUUUUUUUUUUUUUUUUCUCAUCAUUUUUAUAAAGGAAAGAAAAACACAGGUGAACAGAGCACAAGGUGAAUGCCACAGAAUGUAUUUCUGGUUAAAACUCAGCAACCACAAUGCACGUAGGGACAACUUGGCUUUCUUCUGAGUCUUUUCAGACAAUUUGGGAUGCAGAGCAGCGGCCUCCCUUGCUCCUGUGAGCUCUGUUCCACGUGAAGCAGAGCCCAGCCUCUCCCUGUGAGCAGAGAGAUGCUCUGCUCGGCUCUGGCAGCGGCUGUGGAAUGGAUGGGCCGCUCUCUUCUUCCUGACAGUGAUGCACACGGGCCCUGGGAGCUUCAGCUCUGUGAGCAGUUUUUGGAUGGCCUGGAGGGAGUUCUUUGCUCGAGCGUCACAAAUGAGUUCAGUUUCCUCUGCCGCUGCCAGAUAGUUGGCCAGAUGCUCGCUGAGGGGAGUCGAUGUGGCACAUCUGACACUCAGUGCAGGGCAGUGCCACCUCUUAUCAGUCCCAGCCGCUGAUCAGACUCGAUGACAAAAACCCAACAAACACUCGGUCAACACCCAGUUCUUAGUACUUAGCCGGAGUCCUUACUCCUUGGUUAGUGCCUUAGCUUCCUGAGAAGGGCUUGACAUUUCACUUCAGAGGUAGACAUACAUUUCAGUGGAGGAGCAGGGACCUCAGACAAGGUAUUGAACCUCAUUCAGUCAGGGCUGCAGCCGGCGGCUGCGCUCGGCCUGUGCCGCUGAGCUAGGAUGCAGGACGGUGCGGAAGCAGAUAUGACACUGUAAGCAAUAUUAACACAUUAGUGCUUUUGGAUAUUAUUUAGGCAGAGUCAGUAUUGGCAACUACUAAAACGUCAUUUUUUAAACCCUAUUUUCUAGGUUUCAAAUUGGUUCUUUGAGGGAGGGGGGAGGGCUGGCUGAUCGUGCACCACUCUUUGUGCAACUUCGAAACUUCUAGUGAGUUUUUCAGAAAAUCUAGCACGCAUAAGUUUCUGCGUUUCAUGAUUUUACCAAGGAACAGAUUGGAUGAUGCUGCUGUGUCUGUGACAAGACAGAUUCUAACCGAAGAAAGCAGUUGCAUUUGCCAUCAAACUGCCCUUUGAAAUGCUGUGGAGAGCUGGAAGGUGAGUUUGGGGGUCUCAUGUGGGAGAAAUGGGUGAGUGAUUCGCUCCAUCCCUUCAGAUGAAUGCAAGUAAUUUAUCUUUAUUGUUAUAGUUUGUAGGAGAAACUGUGAGACUGUGGCAUGUGUUACAGGCACAGUGUGUGGGUUGCCUCUCUGAUACGCUUCCAGGAGAAACUUCACUGUUUUGAUAUCACACACCUCCUGUCUGCCCGUGACAUUGCAGAGGAAACCUUGCUGACAGAUCUGACUGAUGCACUGAGCCAAGAGGUACCGCGGAACCAGCAGCCUACCCACAAUUGCAGAAAGUUGCAGAAAGUGUCUUUUCCCCAUAUAGCCGUUUCCCCAGAAUGAACUGUUUUCCAGGAAAGUAAAAGACUUAACAUUUGCUGUGAAACUGCUUUGAAGUCACAUUUUAUUGCUCUUCAAAAUAUAUAUUUCUAACGCCCUGCUCUUCCAAUUCUUUCAUUUUUAGAUUUUUUCCUGUUCACCAGUCUAAAAGAAAGGAUCUUUCCAGAGUCAUUGACUGUGUCAUACAGACACUUUUGCUUUCUUGUGAGUCCCAGCUGUUUCCUCUGAACUGACUUAUCACUUCUGUGUCACAGGUUUCUAACUGAGUUGGCCGUGGUGUGGUAAGAGUCAACAGCUCUACCAAUGGAGGAAGAGGCAGUUCCUGUCUUCAACUGCUUCUUGUCCAAAUUUGCCUGAAAGGUAUAGAAGGAAGGUGAAGACAUAAACUGUAGUGCAGCACUGAACUGUCUGAGAUUCUGCAAAGCCCCCAUCGCUCCCCUGAGAGAACUCCUUCCUGUCUCACUCUGGUAGAUGGUGUCAUCCACCAUAACAGCAUUAAGAUGUUCUCCUUCCAAACUGAUCCCCUCUGUGACAAGUGGGAGGUGGUUGCAUGGAUGGAAUCUGUGUUACAUUCAGACAUCUCUUUGCAAGAUUGCUCCAGAGCUUUCUCUGUUAAAUUCUGGAGCGUCUCCCAAGACUUGAAGGAGUUGGGUGUGAGGUUGAAAAUCCUCAACAUGACAAGAACCUCUGUUCUUAUGCCUCAUAUAAACUGGCACAUCUUCAACAGGGAAGGGAAUUUUUCUGAAUUCCUUUCAAAAUUUUCUUAUUUCUUAAAAGAGAGAGUAAAUUCUUUCUUCUGUAUUAACUAAAUGGGUAAAAAGCCCAGGUGUCCCGUCUCAAUUUCUGGAAGGCUAGAGCUAGGCAAAAAGGCAGAAGUUCAGGGUUUUAUCAGUAUACUGAGGGGCUUUCAAGCUCAAUGAAUUCUUUUUCACAUCUUGCAUCUUCCUUUGGCAAGAAAAGAAAUUAUGCUUUGUUAAAAGAAACAUUCGGAAAAAUGAUUGGAGCUGUACAAAACCACAGCCAUUCAUCCCUUCCUUCUCUCUGCUGUAGCCGUCCCUGUCCAAAACAUCUGUAAGAACAUACAGAAAAAUGGUCCCUCAAUAUCAUCUGUAUAUCUGGUCUCUCUGCCCUGCAGGAAUAGAAGAAAAAGAUUAUGCUUUCUCCCUUUGCUCUCCCUUUUUUCCUUCCUAUUAGUAAGUGUGCCCUAACAUACAGAAUGUCUGGGGCUUUUUUGACAGAGAAAUCAAAAACCUGUGACCCAGAGCUUCUGUCAGGUUUGCAAGAACUGAGCAGCUACAUACUGUUGGCUUCCCUCCUUUGCAAAUUAAAACAUGUAUUGCACCGGAUCGAAAUGCAGGUUUGUGGAGUGGCAGUUGCUGUAGCUGGCACAGCAAUGGCUUGAGAUCCCAAACAGGCAACAAGCAAGAUAAGCUGGAUUACAAAAUUUAGUGUGUGCUUACAAGUUUGGGAAACAUAAUAGAGGAUUAACUACUGCUUAUCAUUACUGGCUAGUGCCCCUGGCAAGUAGACAGCAAUGUCUUACUUCCAUUUUUUGAACAACAGUGGAGAUAGUGAUGUUGGAAAAGACAGACCACAGUCGUGUGAAAUAACAAGUUCCUGGUCACGUGUUAUAUUCCAGGUAUUUCAACAUAAACAUUCUCAACUAAUAAUAAGCACAGUGUGUAACAUCUUGCCCAGUAUUUUUUUAUAUACUUGCUUGUUGCAGUGACCCACAUGUCUUCAAGGAAUCAAUCUUUUCUGAUUAGUAAGUAUUUUAAAAAUGUAAUUAAUAGUUGUGUUUUUCCAUGCCGUUGCCGUCCCACAACUUUGUCUCUUUCAGGGAUGUUUGUGUCAUAAAAUCACCAGCUGCAAACCUCGUUUGCCACCCGGUGCACCAAGGAUACAUCAGCUAACAGCAGAACGCUGUGGAUUCAGGACUGUAAUGUAUGCUAUGAUUGGUUUGAAAUUCAUUUGAAUUGGGAGUUUGCCCAUGGCACUGCUUUUCACUGUUGCACUGUACAAAGAAGAAUGGUGCAGUGUAAUUUCGUAUAAAUCACUCGGUGGGUGUAAAAUAAUGCAGAGUACCAAAAUAGUGACAGUUGCUGAAAAUCAGUAUAUUGCCUACAUUUUUUUGUGUGUGUGUGUAUAUAUAUAUAUACAAAAGUGUGUGCGUGUAUUGUGUGUAUUUAUGUGUACAUGUAUGCAUGCAUGGGGAAACCUGGAAAAGUUGAGAAAUACAUUUUGAUUCACUUCAAAAAAUGUAAGCAUGGAACUUCAGUGUUUUUCAAGCCCAAAGUGAAUCACGCAGUUGGUAGAGGUAUCUCCCAUUAAACACAGUGCUUGGUUUCCCAGACAUAUUGGAAGAGUUUCUUCCAAUUACUCGAUUUAUCUACGAGAGGCAGCAGUUUAUCUGCAGGGUGCACAGCCUGCUGUGAGGAAGGUGUUUGUCAGCUAUGCCUGUGAAGCAUCAGAUAGAAAUUCAGUAGAAGAGUUCUGUGGGCUGUGCCUUUGAGUUUAAGCUCUGGCUUAUUGCCUUUAUUAUUAAAUGGUUGCACACGUGGUCAUGGGUACAUACUUAAGUUCUUUCAGAAGUACUUACACUGAAAAUGAAAAUAGAAUAUACAUUGUGUAUGACUAAGGGGACAUAAGAUAAAGGAGCAACCUUCAAACUCUAACACAGGAGCAGGAAUUAUCUAACACUGAGGACAAGUAAGCAUAGACUAACUUGCCAAACUCACUGAAAUCUGUCCCGCUGUGGCCUAGUGAUCAUCACGGUAACGGAGCUGAGUGUAAUCAGUGCUCAGGCAUUUUGUGAGAUGCUGGGAUCCACUGCCCCUUCCACGUACCACCUGCAACAGCAAGGGUUCAGUCCCAAGCACCAGUAUUACAUCUGCUGUGCCUGGGAAAGCAGCUGUCACGUAGCACUAACAUUGUCCCUUAGGUCCUUUGCUGCGUGCGAUUCACGUUGCUCAUUGAGCACAGAAGCCAUUUCCUAGUCCCCAAGUUACAACUCUCAAAUUCCACCAUUGCUCUUUGUUAUCUUCCCACAACCCAGCAAAGCUGUUUGUUAGCAGUGCUACAGGGGCAGGACUGCAAAAGCACUCUUGGACAACGUGGCUGGAAGCAUUGCAUGACGUGCCUUGCCUUAUGACAGCAGUAAUCCCACAGGGGAAGGCACCCAUAUCUGUGUCACCUGAAAGUGUUCUGUGGUCCGGAGUUUCACCUUUGUCAUCCUCACACCUGAACUUAGACCAUCUCAGCUUGUCUCAAGGUGGUCUUUCGCAACUGUGAUAUUAACCCACAACAGUAGGUUCCCAGUUGUUAUCCCUGGUCCAUCUGUGGUCAGAGGGGCCACAGUGAAUGGGCUAUGAAACUCCCCUGCUUUGCUUCAGGUGCCUCCAGGUAACACCUCAGAGCAUUGCAGCAGAGAGAGCCUCUGCUUGGUGCUUUGAAACCUUUCUGGGAUGAAAAUAAAAAAUAUCAAGCAACUGUCUGGCAGUGUGUGUGUUUGAAACUUGAUCUUAUUAUUUAUAAACGAGGAUUUAAUCUUUUAAAAUGGUUAUUACUAUGGCUCUAUCCUAAAGAAGUGCUGU